GACGAACGCUGGCGGCGUGCCUAAUACAUGCAAGUCGAGCGAAGUUUUUCUGGUGCUUGCACUAGAAAAACUUAGCGGCGAACGGGUGAGUAACACGUAAAGAACCUGCCUCAUAGACUGGGACAACUAUUGGAAACGAUAGCUAAUACCGGAUAACAGUAUUUCUCGCAUGAGAGAUAUUUAAAAGUUGGUUAUGCUAACACUUUGAGAUGGCUUUGCGGUGCAUUGGCUAGUUGGUGGGGUAAAGGCCCACCAAGGCGACGAUGCAUAGCCGACCUGAGAGGGUGAUCGGCCACACUGGGACUGAGACACGGCCCAGACUCCUACGGGAGGCAGCAGUAGGGAAUCUUCCGCAAUGGGCGAAAGCCUGACGGAGCAACGCCGCGUGAGUGAAGAAGGAUUUCGGUUCGUAAAGCUCUGUUGUUAGGGAAGAAUGGAUAUGUAGUAACUAUACAUGUAAGAGACGGUACCUAACCAGAAAGCCACGGCUAACUACGUG
rnacentral:rRNA from 1 species